UACAUGUGGGGCAAGCGUUGUUCGGAAUUACUGGGCAUAAGGGGUGCGUAGGCGGCUUGUUAAGUCAGGGGUGAAAGUUUUCGGCCCAACCGGAAAAUUGCCUUUGAUACUGGCGAGCUGGAGUGCGUGAGGGGUGACCGGAACGAGUGGUGUAGCGGUGAAAUGCGUAGAUAUCGAGAGGAACACCUGCGGCGAAGGCGGGUUGCUGGGCUGAUACUGACGCUGAGGAGCGAAAGCGUGGGGAGCAAACAGG
rnacentral:rRNA from 1 species